rnacentral:lncRNA from 1 species
GUUAUGUUGUUCCUUGCUUUUAUGUGAGUCUUUCUUUGAAACAUUGAGGACAGUGUUUGGUUAAGUGUUGGGGGGGGGUAAACAAGUGUUUUUAUUUGAAAAUUUCAUGGGUUUUAUCACCUAGCACCACUACAGUUGUUUUUCACUGUUUUUAAGUGUUUUUAGUGUGUUUUGAAGUGUUUUAGUGUGUCUUGAAAUAAUACUACGGAAAUUUGAAAAAAAAAAUUAGAAAAUGUUUUGAAAAACCCAAAAAGAGUCAUUUUAGAGUCGUUUUUGUGUGUUUGUGUCUUAGCUAACCUUCCAACACAACAAUGAGGAUAUGGAUUUUAAUUGCAUGACUGUUAAAGAAUUCACAUGGUGUAAGUUUGAUAUGCUCUUUGGUUUAUGCCUAGUUGUAGUUGUCAUUAACGAAUUCACAUGUAAUCACAAAGAAGAAAAAAAAAUCAGUUUUUGUAACAUGCUUGAAGGAAGGAAUUCAAUGUUGCAAAUGUGCCCUAAAACCAAUCAUAUGAUGAUACUUUACGGACAUUUCACAUGUUAAACUAAUCUAAUUUAAUAUCAAGGGCAAAGAUUAUUGUUUUAAGCCGUCUCAUAUAAAUGUUAUAUGCUUCAGCAAUAAGUCCA